rnacentral:lncRNA from 1 species
AAAAAAGAAAAAUUCGUUCAAACAGAAAUAUCAGAAAUUCGUUCGGAUGGGUGAAGCGAAAUUGCAAAUUUCGAAAUCGUUGCAUCUCCUCUUUGGAGUAUCGGGGAGUCGCGAUUACGAAUUGAAUAUUAAUGAACACUUUAUGGAUUCCGAUCGAGUAAUAGUAAAGUCGAAUUAAAUAUUAAUGAGGUUCCCUUUCGAGGAAGAAUUAAUUAUAACAUUCCUAUGAAAUCUGGACGAGUCACGCGUAUUACGAAUUUAAAUCAUUCCGACUUUCCAAGAUGAUUUUCCACUUUUCUGGCUCCGCUUUUAUCUCGAAGAUUCGAACCUCGAGCCAACUGAGUAAACGAGAAAUUAAUCGAGCGGAAUUACAUUUAUCGCUGAAAAGAUCAUUUUAAAUAUUUCUAUCGUUAGAAAUGUAUAUUAUUAAUACGCAUGCUCCCUCUUUGUAGAAGAUAUCUCCUCUAGAAACAAUAUUUUCGCUCUACAAAGACGAAUCAUUAUCAAUUGUUUCGCAUUUCGCAUGAAAUCACCCGACCUCUCGAUUCUCCUCCAAAGAUUCUAAAUUUCUGUUUUAAAUUAAUUCUUUCUCUGGAUCCCCAAUCGUUUUUCUUCAUUUUAUACAUUCACAUCCUAAUCAUAUAUAAUUUAUAUACAAUCCGAGACAAAGUAGUACACCAAAAAUAAGAAAAGAAUUUCCAAAGAUAUUUCGAAAGAUUCUGAUUCGCAAACAAAAAUCGUGCAACGUUCCAUUAAAUCACAAAUGCGCGAAACGAUGCAUCCUCGUCGCGAAUCUCGCAUUUUCCGGCACAUUAUGGCAUUCUUUUCGCUCCUCCACCGUGAUUUGAUUUGCGACCCUCUCCCCCACACCACUGAUAAUUCCUCUACCCGAAAUCGUAUAUCUCCACGUCGUGUAUAAUUUGAUCGCGAUAAUUUCUCUGCUCCCCGGCGUGAAACUAUGAUUACGGCUCGUUGAAUUCCGACGAUUCUUCUCCCUUCACUCCGUUGACACGUUGUUCGUUACCCUCCAUCUUGUUUAUAUCACUCGUUGCCACUCGUUCUUAUCAAUUAUCUCGAGUUAUCCUCGAUAACAACGAGACUUGGGCUGCGCGAAACGUGGCUUAAACCACGUUUUAUUAAUGUUCGAAAGCCGCGGGAUUCGGGCAGGGAUUUGCCUCAAUGUGCAUAUACGAAAACUCUCUCUCGCAGUUGGCGCGUUUUUCGUUUCCUACGAUUGGGAUUUACGAUUCGUUGGAAUGGUGUCAAUGAAGUUGAAUUAUUGAACAGGAUACGUAUGAAUAAAUUAAUUGGUGGAUUAAUAGGAUUAUAUAGGAAGCGAUGGUAGUGGAUAUUGGAAGGAGUGGAUAGGUUUGAUAGAAGAGGAGAAUUUUUAUUGAAUUAUUAUUAACAUGUGUAUUUUCAGGUGCAGUUAUGAUUGGUUCUUCGAGACUUCUUUGUUACUUUUUUAGUCGGCUUCGUUUACAUCAGAAGUGAUGAUAUCUUGCGAUGUGCAGUUACGUAUUCGAGGCAGCCUGAUUGGUUCUUCGAGACUUCUUUGUUACUUUUUUAGUCAGUUUCGUUUACAUCAGAAGUAAUGAAGAAGCUUGUGACAUCUUGCAAUGUGAGAAUCCAGUGAAAAGUAGCUUGUACAUUCGUUUGGAUAAAUGUUGCCUUCUUCGUAUUUUUUGAUCUAUACGGAGACAGAAUCGACAUGGACUGAUAGCCAAUAAUAUUCCUUGAUUUGCAUCAAUUUUUAAAAGGAGGAUAUAAAAUAAGAAAAUCAAAGAUCAGGGGAGAAGAAAAUCCAGCAUCCAAGUGCUCUCGUAAGCGGUCCUUACGUUUCUACGAUGAGAAUUUGUUCCUCUUUACGAGGAUUUUACGAUGAGAUCAGAUUGGAUUUUCCACAAUAAAACGUUAAUCGUAUCAAGGUGUCAGCCAUCUUUGUUAUCUAUUGUGAUAUAUAAAUAAGAAAAAAAAUUUACGAUCAUAAAAAGCUACGCUGAUCAUAAAAAAAAAAAAAAAGUACGCUGAUCGUAAAAAAUUGAAAUGUAUUAUUACAAAAAUUCUUACGAUUUCGAUACGAGAUUCCGAGAUCCGGAAUGAAAAGGAAGCUUUGGACGGUUUAUGUUUGAAUCAACCGUUCAGAAAUAUUGAAAAUAUUUUAUGGGCGAUAAAUUUUUCUUUUUCAGGUCUCUCCGUGUUGCAUACGUUGGUAUACGUCCUUCAAAACUUACCUUAAAAAAUUUUUAAAAUAUAUCAUUAUAUUUCACAUAUUGGAAAAUGGAAAAAAAAUUAAAUUCACCGUUAAAAUAUUACCUUUCCAUCCCCGUCGCAUCAUCGACGAAUUUAUAUUAUUAUUUAUAUUGUUCCAAAAGAGGAGUAAAAAAAAAAAAAAAUGAUAAACCGAUCAUCCCAUCGUGCUAUUAUAUUACGCCCAUAUAAAAUGCUGAACGUAUAAGUUGAGAAGCGGCGGUCUGUUAGCGACGGUAAAAUUAUUACGAGCACGGGAACGUUUAAUCGGCCGCGUUCAUUCAAGCAUUCACAGUUCACUUAGAAUCUGCUCGAGAUGCUUGGGCGGUCUGGAGAAAAAUUAUUGAAAGUCUUUUUCAACGAAGAGAGUCGAAGAUUGAACAUCCUCUGACAAAUACACAAUAUCCUCCAUAGUCCAUUUAACCUUUUCAUUCUUAUAAACUGUGAGAUAUCUCGCAAUACAAUAUUUCUUUAAUGCAAAUUUUAUUUUCAUCGUUUCCUUUUUAUCGAGACGCGAUUAUUAUUAUCGUUAAAAUUAAACUUUGGAUUCGGACGAACAAGAUUACUCGACCAUAUUGAAAGAAAAUAUAAAUCCCCUGUAACAAUGAAAAAAGAAGAUAAACGGUGUGUUAAAAGUUGA